rnacentral:antisense_RNA from 1 species
GUGACUCCUUCGAGCCUUCCAGAAAGCAUGUGAGAAGGAAGCCCUACUCUACUACCAAGGUGACUUCAGGGAGCACAUUCAAGGAGGUUUUAAGAAGAUACGCCGUGUACACCAUCCAGCAUCGGAGGCAUCAUGACUCCUGGGUAAAGAAGAAGAUGUACCCACAAGAAGAUGACUUCCAUCAUACAGUUUUCAGCAACCUUGAAAGACUGGACAAGCUUCAGCCCACUCUUGAAGCCUCUGAGGAGUCUCUAGUUCACAAGGACAGAGGAGAUGGAGAGAGGCCGGUCAAUGCGAGGGUGGUGCAGGUGGCCCCUCUGAGGUGUGAAUCUACUCCCUGUGGGGACGCUGUACAAGACAUCUCUA